AUUGAACGCUGGCGGCAUGCUUUACACAUGCAAGUCGAACGGUAACAGGCCGCAAGGUGCUGACUAGUGGCGAACGGGUGAGUAAUGCAUCGGAACGUGCCCAGUCGCUGGGGAUAACUACUCGAAAGAGUAGCUAAUACCGCAUACGAUCUAUGGAUUAAAGCGGGGGACCGUAAUGCCUCGCGCGAUUUGAGCUGCCGAUUUCAGAUUAGGUAGUUGGUGGGGUAAAGGCUCACCAAGCCAAAGAUCUGUAGCUGGUCUGAGAGUACGAGCAGCCACACUGGGACUGAGACACGGCCGAGACUCCUACGGGAGGCAGCAGUGGGAAUUUGGACAAUGGGCGCAAGCCUGAUCCAGCAAUGCCGCGUGAAGGAAGAAGGCCUUCGGGUUGUAAACUGCUUUUGUAAGGAAAGAAACGGCUCUGGUUAAUACCCGGGGCUAAUGACGGUACCGUAAGAAUAAGCACCGGCUAACUACGUG
rnacentral:rRNA from 1 species